GGCGGAUUUUUGCACCAACAAUCCACAUGUCCCUUAAUUUUGUGCACCAUGUGAUGAUGCCUUGGGAUAAUGUAGGCAUGGAAGAGGAGAUGGAGACCUUCUCUUGGAAGAAACUCCACAUAAAAAAUAAAUUUUGGACGUCCCUUGAUUUUGGCAUUGAAAAUGGAGAGCCCAUUUUACAUUGGACUCUCAUUUCCUUUCAUAUUC
rnacentral:lncRNA from 1 species